UUUUAUGCAUGAGCACAGAAUGUGGUUUCUUGAGAUGAAAUCUACUUCUGAUGAAGAUGCUGUGAA
rnacentral:pre_miRNA from 2 species